UGCCUGUGGCUAUGGUCCAGAGAACCAACAAGAAGCAGGUAGAACAGCAAGGGAUAAGCCAGAAAUUGCAUGUGGAGAUGGCAGAGUUGUCACAUGCAGCACUUAAGGACAAUGAGUUUGCUGUGGCUGCAGAGACUCGGGGAGAGGCAGCUGGAGACCUGCAGAGUGUGUCUCCUGUCCUGGCCAGUGCCACAGACACCGAGCUGGCAGCUCCUCCUCUGGCUGGAGUUGCUGAGGAAGAGCAGCACCCUGCACCUCUCACUUCUGUGGAACACGAGCCGGAGGAGGCACCGGCACCACCUUCCUAUGGCUUUGACAAGGAGGAGGUAGAAGAAGAGGAGCGCAGAAAGUCGUUGGCCCUGCUCAGCCCCACUGCCUUGGAGUUGGUUAUGCAGGAAACAGCCAGGUGCUUUGUGGUGGACGUUGUGCACAAAGCUGCGGCUGCCAUCCGGGCAAGAGCUGAGCAGGAAAAGGAGCAGGAGGAUGUGGCCCAAAGCCACGUGGAUGUGUCAGUGGCACCAGUGAUGCAAGUAACGCUUGAGGACAUCGAGAGUCCUAUGGCUGUAGAGCGUCAGGCAGAGCCCAGCUCAGCCCCUUUCACCAAAGCUGCAGAUGAGGCUGGAGAAGUCAUGGUUUCUCCCGUGCCUGGAGAUUAUCAACAGGAGGCCGGCAGAGCUGUUGUCUCCCCAGCACAACAUGAGGAGGAAGUUCUGGCUGCAGUGACGAUGAUCCCUGGGGCAGAGUCUGGGAUAUCUUACCUUGCACCUGGAGCAGAUGAUGAAGGAGAAGCAGCAGCUUCACCUUUGAGUCAGGGCUCGCAGCCCCAGGAGGAGCCAGCGGCCUUCCCUGAGGAGAACGAUGAGGAGGCCAAGCAGGAACUGGACUGUGUUAGUGACAAAGAGCUGUCCCAAGGGGAAGCCCUCACCAUGUACAACAUCUGCGUCAGCCCUUUGGUGCCAGAGCUCUUCCAGGACGCCCGAGCAGACAUCCAUCUGGAAUCCAGCAUCCGCAGCCAUGUGGGCACAAAUGCGACAUCAGAGGCAGCUGGAGACCUGCAGAGUGUGUCUCCUGUCCUGGCCGGUGCCACAGACACUGAGCUGGCAGCUCCUCCUCUGGCUGGAGCUGCUGAGGAAGAGCAGCACCCUGCACCUCUCACUUCUGUGGAACAAGAGCAGGAGGAGGCACCGGCACCACCUUCCCACGGCUUUGACAAGGAGGAGGUAGAAGAAGAGGAGCGCAGAAAGUGGUUGGCCCUGCUCAGCCCCACUGCCUUGGAGUUGGUUAUGCAGGAAACAGCCAGGUGCUUUGUGGUGGACGUUGUGCACAAGGCUGUGGCUGCCAUCCAGGCAAGAGCUGAGCAGGAGAAGGAGCAGGAGGAUGUGGCCCAAAGUGAAACCGAGGCACGGAGAAAGCCAUCUGCCCUGCUCAGCCCUAAGGCCUGUAAGAUGAUACAACCAAAAAGAGACAGGAACUUCGUGAGAGGCGUCCUGCACAAGCCUUUGUCUGUUACCUGCAAAAUGGACGAGCAGCCAACACCAGCACAGGCCCAGAGAGAGGCACCAACACAGGCCAGGAGCCUCGGCACAGAUAGACAGGGACCAGGACAGGCCUUUACACAAGGACUAGUACCACCACACGCCCAGAGACAGGCCCCACAAAGGGUCUCAGUUAUCGACAGAGCUCUGCAGGUUGUAUUCAGGCGCAAAGUGAGG
rnacentral:lncRNA from 14 species